AUUGAACUCUGGCGGCAGGCCUAACACAUGCAACUCGAACUAGUGUCUGACGGGUGAGUAAUGUCUGGGGAACUGCCCGAUCGAGGGGGAUAACUCCUGGAAACGGUAGCUAAUACCGCAUACCCUCUGAUGUUCCCAGAUGGGAUUAGCUAGUAGGUGUGGUAACGGCUCACCUCGGCGACGCUCCCUAGCUGGUCUGAGAGGAUGACCAGCCAGAAUGGAACUGAGACACGGUCCAGACUCCUACGGGAGGCAGCAGUGGGGAAUAUUGCACAAUGGGCGCUAGCCUGAUGAAGCAAGGCUGGGUGUAUGAAGAAGGCCUUCGGGUUGUAAAGUACUUGCAGAGAGGAGGCGUUACUCGCAGAAGAAGAACCGGCUAACUCCGUGCCAGCCGCCGCGGUAAUUC
rnacentral:rRNA from 1 species